UACGAAGGGUGCAAGCGUUAAUCGGAAUUACUGGGCGUAAAGCGCGCGUAGGUGGUUUUGUAAGUUGGAAGUGAAAGCCCCGGGCUCAACCUGGGAACUGCUUUCAAAACUGCAAAGCUAGAGUAUGGCAGAGGGUGGUGGAAUUUCCUGUGUAGCGGUGAAAUGCGUAGAUAUAGGAAGGAACACCAGUGGCGAAGGCGACCACCUGGGCUACUACUGACACUGAGGUGCGAAAGCGUGGGGAGCAAAC
rnacentral:rRNA from 1 species